rnacentral:rRNA from 1 species
CCUACGGGAGGCAGCAGUGGGGAAUAUUGGACAAUGGGCGAAAGCCUGAUCCAGCAAUGCCGCGUGAGUGAUGAAGGCCUUCGGGUCGUAAAGCUCUUUUACCAGGGAUGAUAAUGGCAGUACCUGGAGAAUAAGCUCCGGCUAACUCCGUGCCAGCAGCCGCGGUAAUACGGAGGGAGCUAGCGUUGUUCGGAAUUACUGGGCGUAAAGAGUACGUAGGCGGUUAUUCAAGUCAGAGGUGAAAGCCCGGGGCUCAACCCCGGAACUGCCUUUGAAACUAGAUAACUAGAGUCUUGGAGAGGUUAGUGGAAUUCCGAGUGUAGAGGUGAAAUUCGUAGAUAUUCGGAAGAACACCAGUGGCGAAGGCGACUAACUGGACAAGUACUGACGCUGAGGUACGAAAGCGUGGGGAGCAAACAGGAUUAGAUACCCUGGUAGUCCACGCCGUAAACGAUGAUAACUAGUUGUUCGGUCACUUGGUGACUGAGUGACGCAACUAACGCAUUAAGUUAUCCGCCUGGGGAAUACGGUCGCAAGNUUAAAACCUNAAAGGAUUGACGGNNGAGANGCGAGCGACACGAGGAGAG